UCAUUUGCUAUACACACCAAAAUCUCAGACAAUACAUCUGAGUGAGAGCAAAGUGAGGUGUUCCAUAGACUGUGAGAAAAUAGUCUGUGAAGAAAAAUAGAGUGUGAGUGAUAUUGUAGUAAGGUGGGAAAUCAAAAGAGUGUUAUUUCUUUUGAGGGUGUAGUGGUCUUAGGAGUAUUUGUACUCGUUACUACACAGUGUAAAAUUCCUCGCUAUAGUGAUAUCAGCUGCUCCUCUUGGCCGUGGUUUUUCCCUUAUUCAGAAGGGUUUCCACGUAAAAUCUUGGUGUCAUUAUUGCUGCAUUUUAUUCUUGCUGAUUUAACCAUAAGUUAGUGUUCCGCGUUUAUCACUAAUACCGUGAAUAUUAUUUUUGCGGGUCUAUUUUAUUCCCAACAAGUGGUAUCAGAGCCAAGGUUCUGUCUGAGUAUGCUCUGUGGUUGCAGCACAGUCUGAACUUCCACAUCAGAAAAGAAUUACUUUGGUCCUCGAAUAAAAUAGUAUUUGUGUUUGUGAUAAACGAUGGAAGCCAACACUAGUAGAAUGGUUACUUUGAGUGGCGUAAAUUAUGCCAUUUGGAAGGGCAAAAUGGAAGAUUUGCUCUGUGUCAAGAAUUUUCAUCAACCUGUCUUUGGAAAUAAAAAGCCUGAUAAUAAAUCAGAUGAAGAGUGGAAUUUGUUGCAUCGGCAGGUUUGCGGCUUUAUUAGACAGUGGGUUGACGAUAAUGUGUUGAACCAUAUUUCUGGGGAGACACAUGCUCGGACCCUAUGGAAGCAUCUUGAAAGUUUGUAUGCUCGAAAAACUCGUACCAACAAGAUGUAUGCAAUGGUAUGCACUCGACCAGAUAUUGCUCAUGCAGUCGGUGUUGUUAGCAGAUUUCUCGAAAAUCCAGGGAAAGAGCAUUGGGAAGCUAUGAAGUGGAUACUCAGGUAUCUAAGAGGAAGCUCAGGGGGAGCUAUACCAUGGCAGUCGAAGUUGCAGAAGUGUGUCGCACUAUCAGAUAUGCUGACCAAGGUGGUACCGAGAGACAAGUUCGAAUCGUGCAAAGAACUUGUCGGCAUGCACUCAAAUUAGAAGCCAGUGUACCCUCCUUCAGGUGAAUGGGACUGGAGGGGGAGAUUUGUGGGGUCCAGUCCUCUAUCCCAUAUUUUAAGAAAGGAAGAUUUUUCUUCCUUUGACAAAAUCACAUUGGUAGCAAUUGUGGAAUUGGCCAACAAGUCAAUUCUUUUGUUCACAUAGCCGUGAUGUAAGCGCUUACCUCAUCUUAGUCGUGAUGUAAGCGCUUACCUCAUCAUAAUCGUGAUGUAAGCGCUUAGCUCAUCAUAGUCGUGAUGUAAGCGCUUACCUCAUCAUAGGAAAUUCAUUCCUAUAAAUAGGCGGCCUAUGGUUCAUUUGUAUCAUUACCAAGAUCAUUUGCUAUACACACCAAAAUCUCAGACAAUACAUCUGAGUGAGAGCAAAGUGAGGUGUUCCAUAGACUGUGAGAAAAUAGUCUGUGAAGAAAAAUAGAGUGUGAGUGAUAUUGUAGUAAGGUGGGAAAUCAAAAGAGUGUUAUUUCUUUUGAGGGUGUAGUGGUCUUAGGAGUAUUUGUACUCGUUACUACACAGUGUAAAAUUCCUCGCUAUAGUGAUAUCAGCUGCUCCUCUUGGCCGUGGUUUUUCCCUUAUUCAGAAGGGUUUCCACGUAAAAUCUUGGUGUCAUUAUUGCUGCAUUUUAUUCUUGCUGAUUUAACCAUAAGUUAGUGUUCCGCGUUUAUCACUAAUACCGUGAAUAUUAUUUUUGCGGGUCUAUUUUAUUCCCAACAGUUCUUGCUAAAACCUUUAAAUAUUUGAGUUAGUUUAAGUUUUAAAUCUUUGUUUUCUUUUGAUUGUGGCUGAGUUAGGGAUUUGAGGAGCAUCUCCAAAUCUAUUCUCGACAAGGGUUGCACUCAAAAAAGGUAUCCGGAGAUACAUCUGAAUAUGACACUCGGAAGGAACCCGAAGACUUCAUCGAAUCAGUGUUUGUAUUUACUUUCCGCAUUUUUUUAUAACUGUACAAACAUAAACUCAACGUAUAGUGGGAACUUUAUUUUUGGAAUGACGGGUUGAUAUAUUUA